ACUUUAUAAAAGACAUUGACUAAGAAGAAAAUGAUUUUUGUCUUUUUGAUAAACUCUAUGGAAAUAAAUACCGGAUGGUAGUAUUUUAUUUGUAUCAGUAAAAGCACGAACUUGUUAGCUUCCGAAAUGGCAUGGCAUUGACAUUAUGGCCACAGGAGAUUCAGCAUCUCAUCUUUGUGAUACAAAACUGCACGCCGUUUUAAUUGUGAAAAUUGUACUGAAGGAUAAUUAUUUGGCAUUUAGAACACUUUUUUUUUUUCCCAUGCAGCCAGGGGCUUCUAAUGAGAAUUGUCAAAUAAACAGAUCAUUAGGUUAGGAUUAAGGCUGUCAACACAGACAAACUACUAAGUGAAUGAUGUUUGAUGGAAUGGGACCCACGUCUUUUGCAGCGGUUAACAAAUAUUGAAUUUAAUUGAAGACAUUUGAGAAAUUGCAAAAAAAAAAAAAACAAAAAAACCUUCAUAAAAUGCUUUAACUUGGGAGGAGGUGAGCUCAGACAUUAUACUUUUAGUUUCCUUUUGUAAGAGUCACCUCUUUUAGCAUCACUUAAAAGAACACAACACAUCUUUUAAAUCUUUAACAUGUAUUUUUAAAAAUCUGGAAAACAGAGGUAAAUUAUCCACUUUUUGAUUACUCAAAUCUAGCUAAUGCUAGCAUUUAGUGUUUUAUUUUUCACAUUUCUUUUCCAAUGUAUCAGUUUUACUUUAAAUAUAUUUUCUUCCCUCUUAUGUCAGUUUGUGUAUUGAUUCAUUUUGUUUAGCAAAUGUAUUUCUAAAUAGUUUCAUAGACUUCAGUUAUUGUAAUAACCCAAGGACUAUAUCAAUAUAUACUGAAAUUUGGUCUUCAUUUACUAUGUUUCCAACAUUAAGUUAUUAAAAACAUCACUGAAUUGAUUACUUAGUUGUAUAAAGCUUUUUCCAUAUUUUGGAUUAUGUUCUUAGGAUUAAUCCCCAAAAGGGAACAUCCGAGUCCAAAUUUUAGUACUUUAAAGCACUUGUUAUAUAUUUUCAAACUCUAUAGAAAGAAACUGGAUAUAUUAUAAAUACUGAAAUAUCUCUUUCUCCUCAAGAAGUCUUGUCUCUUACAUUUAAUAAUAGAAGCAGGAGUUCCCGUCAUGGCUCAGCAGUUAAUGAACUCAACUAGGACCCAUGAAGAUUUGGGUUUGAUCUCUGGCCUCACUCCGUGCUUUAAGGGUCCGGUGUUGCUGUGAGCUGUGGUGUAAGUUGCCAACACGGCUCAGAUACUGCAUUGCUGUGGCUGUGGUGAAGGCUGGCAGCUGUAGCUCCAAUUUGAUCCCUAGCCUGGGAACUUCCAUAUGCCAUGGGUGUGGCGCUAAAAAGGGUGUGGCGGGGGAGAAGAAGCAAAUGUGAUAAAUUGCUAAAGACUUUUUUUUCUGUGUUACUACUCUGUUCAAAGCAGUUUAUAUGGCAUUUCAAAAGCUCUACUGUAGAAAAAUCGUGACAUGGCAAUUUUGGACGACCUUUCCCCCAGAAGUGGUCACAUUGAGGACGAUAUGGAUCGUUUUUUCUUUCCUUAUCCUGCAGAGGAUGGAACUGGUUCCAAAGCAAGGACCUCCCUGGAAUGAGAGAUCAACUAGGUGUGAAAAAGCAUCCCAAAGCCUCUGGACUCACUGCCAAUGCAAUUAGCUGCUACGAAAUUUGGGUAGGGAGUGUCGUGUUUCUGGAAGUGUCCAGAGGGAGCUUGGAUGAGCAAUUCUUGGAAAGAUUUUUAAAGGUUAGUUGGUUAGUCCAACCAGAUGUAAUGUGAACUCAUUCUUUGUUCAAAAAUUGAUUCUACAACAUGCUGACACCACACUGUCAAUCUUGUACAAAGCUCAAGUAACCCAUUAAAUAAUUUGAAAACUAGUACAUUUCCAAAGAGACCAUCAACUGAAUUUUAAUUAAUUUAUUUCAUCCUCAUCCUCCAUUAAGAAUGAGUAAAAUUAACAGCAUAGUAGCUUGAUUUUUUUGUUUUUUGUUUCUUUUGCUAGCUUGAGUUUAAUUUAGUCCCUCCUUGGGUCUCUUUACUGUUUCAUAUGGAGCAUGCAAAUGAGUGAGGUCGGAAGAGACAGCAGGUGCAGAUGCAAACAUCUGCAUGAGCUGCAUACAGGGUUAGGAAUUGGGGUGCAAAUGCAAAAUAAGUUGGGAGCUCAAGGAAGUGUUCCUGAGACAAGGCGAGUUAUCCAAGACCAUUCUAACAAAGCCACUCCUUGUUUAUUAAUCUGGAAAGUGAACCCCAUUAUCCCCUCACUUCCUUGGCCAACACACUGUCUCGUUUUUUUAUUGACUCACCUUCUUAUUCUGCCCCUCACAGCUUGCCCCAAGAACUUGCUGGACUCUCAUGCCAUACGAGAGACCCUCAAAGGACACUGGAUAUUUACCUUGAAGAAAAGAAAACUCUGCUGGGAGAGAGGGGUGGUUAAGAAACACUAACCCAUUUGAUAAUUUUGUGAGUACAGGGGAGCUGAGCUAUUGCUGUGUAUUCCUAUGGAGAAAUAAAUAGUAAUAGAAAUUACCGAAGCACAUUCUAAUGGAAAGGGCUAGCCAGAUAGAGAAUAUGCCUCUGAAGAGGUAAUGAGGUUGAAGUGACUAUUGUAACUUUCUGGAAAUGAACUAGAUGUUGUGUAGUAAAUAGGGGGAAGUAGGUCAAUUCGAUCCAUUAGAUUUUAUAAAAUUAUAUGAUGCAGAAGCAAAGAGGGAGCUAUUGAAUUUUAGCUGCUAUUAUGGAAGGCUAGGACUGGACUACAAUGAUGUGACCCACAAUCACAGUAAUUGUUCAGGUGGACUUUGUAAAUGAGCUGAAAUCAUUCUUUUGAAAAUAACUCUUCAAAGUGAGAAGAUUUCUCCAAUCCACAUUUUCUAGUCUGCUUGGCUGUCCCCUCUGGGCUCAGUCAAAGAAACCCAUGCAGUGGAAGUAUGUUUAGCAAUUGGGCCUGUUCCCAGGUUGCGAGACAUUUAGCAAAAAUCCAGAGUUAUUAUUAGAUCUAAAUGGAGGCUUUUGUCAAAAGGCCUCUUGAACUGUUAGGAAAUCAGAGUGCAAAUUGAUAAUGACACACAACACAUCCCUGCCCUGGCAGCUCCCCGAAGGCUGCUGAGAUACCCCAGAAAGAACUUGCAUGGCCUCAUGCCAACAGCGUGUUGCUCAACCCUCGUCCUUCUCCUAAGUCGGCUUGACAACUGCAUUCUUCUCUUCCUUGUAAGAGGCAGAAGGAGAUGGAUUAAAGAGGAUGUUUGAACUGAGACUAUUAAUUUCCUUGCAGUGUGUAUUCAAGUCAGAUCCCUUUAGAAGAGCCUUUUGUGGUUUCAUAAAAUUACAACUUUGGCUAUUCGGCUGCCUUUUCCAAAGUACAAAUUUGGCUUCUAAAGAAAACACACUUCAUAGGAAAAAAGGAAAGAAAUGAGUACGUAGUUAUCUUUAAAUAUAUUCAUUUUAUAUAAUCGUUCUGUUACGCAAAGAAACAAUUACAGUAUUAACUACUUAUUAAUAAAAGAAAUCAUAAAACAUAGUGUCUUCAUAAACCCUUUCAGGUUUUCAUGAGUUUUAUUUGAAAGAAGUUAAUAAAACAGAUUUUUUUUUUUUCCUUAGAGUUUAUGAAUGGAAAAAUACUUUUUUAAACUAUCGGGCUUAAAAAUGAAUGUUCCUCCUCUUUCUAAGACUGUGGCAAUACUUUUUACCUUUUCAAGGGACAGGUGAGCAGUCAUUUCAUGGGUGAAGGGUGUGUGUGCGAUGUCUUGCAGAGAAAUUGCAGCAUGGAUUCCUUCCCCUCCUCUUUCUAGCCCCGGCCUCUCUGGCUUCCUCUAACUGUGCCUUACACUGGAGUGCACAGGGAUGCGGCUCACUUAGCAUCUACGUUAUUUCGAUUCUUCUUGCCAGCCCCUGUUUCUCUGGGCCAAGCUCUAGCCCAGCACCUCACACGUGGCAGGAAGUCUGUUUUAUUGAAUGAAUCCCUAAAUGUGAGGCCUGGAAGAGGAGAGAUUCUUUUCUCUGCUCUGCGGGUUAGACAAACUUUGGUUGGUUGGAACUCAUAGAAAACAAAACCCAAUUUAGCUACCACUCCCUGGAGAAAGGCAGCUUGAGAUUUAGGAGUCACCUCCAGGGCUUGGGGAUGAAGUUCAGACACUAAAGCGUCGGGGAGGGGACAGAACACACUGUGAUUUUUCUUUUCAAGGGCCCCACGUAGCAUCUGCAACCCCACCUCUGGUCCUGAUGCUGUGUGACUUUGACCAAGCGCUGGUCCCCACUAGGUUUUCUCUUCUCGGGGGACCUCAGUGGUUCUCAAUCAGGGCUAUGCUUGAGAACCACCACUGGAGAUUUUUAAAACACCUAUGCCUGGGGCCCACCUCGGACCAAUACAUUCAGAAACCUAAUGGCUGUGGACCUGCUGUGUAUUUUUUAAAAAUUUGCAGGUGAUUCCAAAGUGAAGCUGGGUUUAAACUUUGGUGUCUCUCCUUUAAUAUGAUGAGGAUGAUCUGGGAUCUCGUAAAAAUGCAGAUUCUGAUUCAGCAGCUUUUGGGUGGAGCCUGCAUGUCUGCAUCUGAAGCCAGGGCUCAGGUGAUGCUGGCUGUCUCUGGUGCACCUGGACAAGGACCCAGAGCCUGGAGCUUGUAAAACCUGGGGACUUUAAGGCCUCACCUCAGGCCCACUGAAUCGCAUCCUGCAUUUGAAAUAUUCCUCGGUGAUUUGUAAUACUUCAAAGUUGUGUUUGAGAAACAACUAAAUAAUCCAUGAGAAACCUCCCCUGCCUCCACUUUAGACAGCCUCUGCUUACUUUCACCUGUUUUUCCUUCCUGUGCCCCUGUGCUCACCAUAACCCAGCAGCUGAGGCUCUUUGUACUUGCCCAGAUGUGUCCUGCGUGGCCUGACACUGCCUUUCCAACAUGACAUGGCCAUGCCCUUUAUAUGGACUAGAUCCUAACCCUUUACCCACUCCUUUCCUACCCAACCUUCAAGAUUUGGGGAUGAAGUCCUCCAGGGAAGCUGAUGUAACUAUUUCCACCCACCACCCGACUCUAACUUGGCUCCCCUGUGCUUUCUUACACUGAAAGAAAAUUACCCAUAUAUGUGCUUCGCUCCCCACCGAGGAUGUACAAUUAAUUCUGAAUUGUCAAAAACUGAGUUUUGAGGGUUUUUUUCUGAUUGAUCAAGGUGCUGGCACAGAGUAUGCACUUGUACUUUUCCGUGUGGGUUCUGAUUAGGAUGGAGAUCUUAACAGAUCUUCCACAUCAAGCUCUUCUUCCUGCCCAGAGUCUUGGCAACACACCAUGUGGCUAGAGAAACGCCAAGUGGAUUUCCCAGCUCAGCCUGGCACUAAAUCUCACUUUUUUUGUCUUGAGGACAUGUUGGGACCCCUGUAAACUCUCCAAGGCUUGAGACCCCCGCCCCCCAGAGGAAAGUGGCUUUGGUGGGCUUUCCUCUGGGACGGGAAUAGAUAGAUGAGUGAGAAAGGCAUCCACUUGCUUGAUUUCUGUGCUCCUUGUAUUUCUGACAUUUAUCAAAGCUGACAUCACUUGCCAAAGGCCAAGGGAGGAAGGAUGAAACAGAUCAUUUUCAUUUGCCUGGUGUUCUCUUAGCUGUUUCCCAGGCUGACUGAGAACAAUUUGCAUCCUGUCCAGGCCCCAUAAUUUCUGGUUGUUAAAGAAAGACACAUGGGUAUUGCCAAAGCAUCCUGAGACCUUGACUCAGUGUAGUGCGACUUGAAGGAUAUGGGAAAUGUGGGAGGGCCACUUACUUUGAUUUUCUUCGUGUGGCCCACACUGCACGUUUCCUGGAAGAGGACACUGAGCCUGCAUUUGCUCUCAAUCUAAUGUUGGAUUCAAAUUAUGAAUAUCUAUCAAAUUCAGUGAAUAUCUGUGAGGUGUCCUCUGUGUGGCAGACUCUUUGCUGAUGUUGGGGAGGGUGACUGUGAUGCAUCACAGAUUUUACCUUCAAGGCGAUGCUGGAUGUAGAUACAAAGGACCAUGCUGCUAAGCGUUUUCUUGAGGAAUACGGUGCCGUAAGAAUACAGAAGAAAAGGCAAUUAACUCUACCUCCUAUGCUGCCAAAAAAGAUAACAGGGGUAGUAUGUCAAGGGAAAUGUCUUCCAAGACAUUUUAUUCAAACUUAAAGUUUCUUUUCCUGUGUAACUAAUAACCCUGAAACUUAGUGGCUAAAAUAACAGCAAUUGUGGAUUAUAAGAGACAGUCUUGCUGUGUAUGGAUGGCUUUUACUGAUUUAUGUAAGAGUAGGGACAGGUAACUAUUAUACUGACAAAAAUAAGAUUAAAAAUAACCCUAAAGUAUGAACUGAGGCAUCAUGCGUGUCCAUCAGCGAAAUGUACUUGUGCUUAAAGAGAGUUUGACUGCUGUUGUUCACUUGAAUUUCUCCUGGUCAGUGGGUCCACCUGGCGCACAGAUGGGAGUUGGAGAAAAGUUAGGGUGUGGUCAAAAACCAGGGAGUUGCAAGAUGCUGGCCUUGGCCUCAGUGGCCUGAAUUAAUCCACAACUCAAUGCAUAUUCAAGGCAAAUUUUGGAGAGCAUUUUGGAGGGAGAGUAGCAAGGUCCUGGCUGCAACAGAAUUGGCAAUGGACUGUGGAGAGUGGAACAAAGGAAUGAAACGGGCGAGGAUUUCAAAGCUAACUGGCAGCAGAUUUGAGUCUGGACUUGGUAACUAACCUUGACUAAAUCACGUUAUUAAUAUAAUUUUGCCAAGACAAAGGGCAC
rnacentral:lncRNA from 1 species